UACGUAGGGUGCGAGCGUUAAUCGGAAUUACUGGGCGUAAAGCGUGCGUAGGUGGUUCGUUAAGUCCGUUGUGAAAGCCCCGAGCUCAACUUGGGAAUUGCAGUGGAUACUGGCGAGCUAGAGUGCGGUAGAGGAAGGUGGAAUUCCCGGUGUAGCGGUGAAAUGCGUAGAGAUCGGGAGGAACACCAGUGGCGAAGGCGGCCUUCUGGACCAAUACUGACGCUCAUGCACGAAAGCGUGGGGAGCAAACAGG
rnacentral:rRNA from 1 species